rnacentral:rRNA from 1 species
GUCGGGAGUCUUGCACAAUGGGGGAAACCCUGAUGCAGCGACGUCGCGUGUGGGAUGAAGUAUUUCGGUAUGUAAACCACUUUUGCGGGGGGCGAAAAAAAUGACGGUACCCCGCGAAUAAGCCCCGGCUAACUACGUGCCAGCAGCCGCGGUAAUACGUAGGGGGCGAGCGUUGCUCGGAUUGACUGGGCGUAAAGCGCGCGUAGGCGGUCCAUUAAGUGUGCGGUGAAAUUCGGAGGCUCAACCUCCGUCCCGCCGCGCAAACUGAUGGUCUUGAGAUUGGGAGGGGGAUGCGGAAUUACUGGUGUAGCGGUGAAAUGCAUUGAUAUCAGGAGGAACACCGGCGGCGAAAGCGGCAUCCUGGCUUAUAUCUGACGCUGAGGCGCGAAAGCGUGGGUAGCAAACGGGAUUAGAAACCCGUGUAGUCC